ensembl:misc_RNA 7SK 7SK RNA
GGAUGUGAGGGCGAUCUGGCUGCGACAUCUGUCACCCCAUUGAUUGUUGAUUCGGCUGGCUAGGCAGGUGUCCCCUCCCUCCCUCACUGCUCCAUGUACGUCCCUCCAGAAGCUGCGCGCUUUGUCGAAGAGGACGGCCUUCCCCAAAUAACAUACUUGUUUUGACAAAACUACAACAUUUAUGAUGUUAGCACUAGCUUCCCUUUCUACUCCUUUUCCAGUUUGUAGGUACUGGUAUUAUCACUAUGCUACAAAUACUCCAAUUGCUGUUACAGGUAGUAGAAUCUCUGAUAUU